AAAGAAUCCUGGUGAUCUCGAUUUUGGAUACCUUGUGUAUAAUGUUUAUCUCAAAGACCUUCUAGUUCUUCAUCCACUUCCUGCCAGAGCCAGAGUGGGAGGUGGAGCAGGGAGACAACUCCCCUUCUUGACUCAUGGUGUCAUCAGAGUCCCAGCAAGAGAGAGAUGGCAACAGAGUUACAGCUGUGUUAUUGGAGAGAACAUAAUAAACAGAAGAAUUUUAGACACAUGGAGGAGAUGAAAGGAAAACAAAAAGGAUGAUGCAGCAUCUCCAGGAUAGAAACGUGGAGCACCAUCAGCACUGUCAGCUUGAAGGGACCGGGAAAGGAAGUGGUGAAAAGAACCCUGAGAGGCCUGUAGCUGAAGGAUGGGGUUGCUGAAAAGCGGCUGGGGCCUUCCGUGUCGGAACCAGGUUACAGCUGCCAAGCCAUCGUCCACUGGGGCUGCUAUGCUUUCCUUUUGUACUGAGCUCACAGGGCUUCCCACGUGGCACAGUGGUAAAGAAUCUGCCUGCCAAUGCAGGAAACACAAGACAUGCCGGUUCAAUACCUGGGCUGGGAAAAUCCCCUGGAGGAGGAAAUAGCAACUCAAUCCAGUAUUGUUGCCUGGGAAAUCCCAUGGACAAAAGAGCCUGGUGGGCUAUAGAACAGUGUCACAAAGAGUUGGACACAACUGAGUACUUGUGCACGCGCACGCACACACACGCACACACACACACACACACUGAGCCCACAAACAUGCAGCCAGUCCUGACCCAAAGCAGUGCCUGGGACGUCUUGCUGGGGCCAUGCAGAACUCCAUCUUGCGCCAGUCACACGCUGGCUCUGGACCCCGCUGGGCAGAGGGCCAGGUUUGGAAGAAAGUUCUCCCCGUCAGUGAUGAAGUAUGAUUAAAAGGCUGGCAGACAUUUAAAGACUGACAACACCAGGUGUUGCUGGGAUGUGCAGAGCCAACACUCACAUAUUGCUGGGUUGGUGUAAAUUUGGGCCAGUCUUUCC
ensembl:lncRNA